CCUACGGGAGGCAGCAGUGGGGAAUAUUGCACAAUGGGGGAAACCCUGAUGCAGCGACGCCGCGUGAGUGAAGAAGUAUUUCGUUAUGUAAAGCUCUAUCAGCAGGGAAGAAAAUGACGGUACCUGAGUAAUAAGCCCCGGCUAACUACGUGCCAGCAGCCGCGGUAAUACGUAGGGGGCAAGCGUUAUCCGGAUUUACUGGGUGUAAAGGGUGCGUAGACGGCAGUGCAAGUCUGGAGUGAAAGGCGGGGGCUCAACCCCCGGACUGCUCUGGAAACUGUACGGCUGGAGUGCAGGAGAGGUAAGUGGAAUUCCUAGUGUAGCGGUAAAAUGCGUAGAUAUUAGGAGGAACACCAGUGGCGAAGGCGGCUUACUGGACUGUAACUGACGUUGAGGCUCGAAAGCGUGGGGAGCAAACAGGAUUAGAUACCCCAGUAGUC
rnacentral:rRNA from 1 species